rnacentral:ncRNA from 1 species
UAAUUCGAUGCAACGCGAAGAACCUUACCUACUCUUGACAUCCAGAGAACUUUCCAGAGAUGGAUUGGUGCCUUCGGGAACUCUGAGACAGGUGCUGCAUGGCUGUCGUCAGCUCGUGUUGUGAAAUGUUGGGUUAAGUCCCGCAACGAGCGCAACCCUUAUCCUUUGUUGCCAGCGGUUCGGCCGGGAACUCAAAGGAGACUGCCAGUGAUAAACUGGAGGAAGGUGGGGAUGACGUCAAGUCAUCAUGGCCCUUACGAGUAGGGCUACACACGUGCUACAAUGGCGUAUACAAAGAGAAGCGACCUCGCGAGAGCAAGCGGACCUCAUAAAGUACGUCGUAGUCCGGAUUGGAGUCUGCAACUCGACUCCAUGAAGUCGGAAUCGCUAGUAAUCGUAGAUCAGAAUGCUACGGUGAAUACGUUCCCGGGCCUUGUACACACCGCCCGUCACACCAUGGG